AGUCACUGACAUUAGAUACCCCCGUAGUCCAGGGUGUAAACGCUGCAGACUUGGUGUUGGAAGCCCUUUGGGGGCAUUCAGUGCCGGAGAGAAGUUGUUAAGUCUGCUACUUGGGAGUACGUCCGCAAGGAUGAAACUUAAAGGAAUUGGCGGGGAGCACCGCAACGGGAGGAGCGUGCGGUUUAAUUGGAUUCAACACCGUAAAACUCACCAGGGAAGACUGUUACAUGAAGGCCGAGAUGAAGACUCUGCUAGAUUUUUCAG
rnacentral:rRNA from 1 species